GUGGGGAAUAUUGCACAAUGGGCGCAAGCCUGAUGCAGCCAUGCCGCGUGUGUGAAGAAGGCCUUCGGGUUGUAAAGCACUUUCAGCGAGGAGGAAGGCGUUAAGGUUAAUAACCUUGGCGAUUGACGUUACUCGCAGAAGAAGCACCGGCUAACUCCGUGCCAGCAGCCGCGGUAAUACGGAGGGUGCAAGCGUUAAUCGGAAUUACUGGGCGUAAAGCGCACGCAGGCGGUUUGUUAAGUCAGAUGUGAAAUCCCCGAGCUUAACUUGGGAACUGCAUUUGAAACUGGCAAGCUAGAGUCUUGUAGAGGGGGGUAGAAUUCCAGGUGUAGCGGUGAAAUGCGUAGAGAUCUGGAGGAAUACCGGUGGCGAAGGCGGCCCCCCUGGACAAAGACUGACGCUCAGGUGCGAAAGCGUGGGGCAGCAAACAGGAUUAGAUACCCUGGUAGUCCAGCGCUGUAAACGAUGUCGAUUUGGAGGUUGUGGGCUUG
rnacentral:rRNA from 1 species